UUUGGUGAAUAUACAUAAUGAUGUGUGACUUGUUAUUGUCUAUACAAAUUCUGUUUUAGCAGCAACGUUCUGAGAUUUUUUGCAGACGAAACAUCGCAACCGCAACAGAUGCAUUCAUUUGAUGAUAUCAAAUCCGCAUUAAUAACGGGAAGCCAAGUGUGGUAUAACGCUAUGUUUUUUCUCUGUAAAGGAGAUGUUCCCUGGACAGUUACCGGUGGUCGUGUGAGAGAUUUUGAUAUAACAGUCUCAAGCUCUCAAGAGAUCAUCAGUUCCUCUUUGAAUGCACUGGUACGUCGGACAGGUACAGUACAGUCAGAAUACAUCGUUGUAACGAGUACACUCCAUGACAACAGGGUCGUUAACUUUGAAGUGACGGAUAACGACGCUAAGACAUUUAACAUGGUCUACAAUGGAACGAAAAUGUGCUACCUACAAACAACGAUGCCCGGUGGAACUGUCAAUUAUUAUGUUGUGUGAAUGUCGUCAUAAACAACUUGUAAGACAG